AACGAACGCUGGCGGCAGGCUUAACACAUGCAAGUCGAGCGCCCCGCAAGGGGAGCGGCAGACGGGUGAGUAACACGUGGGGAUCUGCCCAAUGGUACGGAAUAGCUCCGGGAAACUGGAAAUAAUACCGUAUGUGCCCGCAAGGGGAAAGAUUUAUCGCCAUUGGAUGAACCCGCGUCGGAUUAGCUAGUUGGUGAGGUAAAGGCUCACCAAGGCGACGAUCCGUAGCUGGGCUGAGAGGAUGAUCAGCCACACUGGGACUGAGACACGGCCCAGACUCCUACGGGUGGCAGCAGUGGGGAAUAUUGGACAAUGGGCGCAAGCCUGAUCCAGCCAUGCCGCGUGAGUGAUGAAGGCCUUAGGGUUGGAAAGCUCUUUCGCCGACGAAGAUAAUGACGGUAGUCGGAGAAGAAGCCCCGGCUAACUUCGUGCCAGCCGCCGCAGUAAGAC
rnacentral:rRNA from 1 species